rnacentral:rRNA from 1 species
GAUGAACGCUGGCGGCGUGCCUAAUACAUGCAAGUCGAGCGAACUGAUUAGAAGCUUGCUUCUAUGACGUUAGCGGCGGACGGGUGAGUAACACGUGGGCAACCUGCCUGUAAGACUGGGAUAACUUCGGGAAACCGAAGCUAAUACCGGAUGGGAUCUUCUCCUUCAUGGGAGAUGAUUGAAAGAUGGUUUCGGCUAUCACUUACAGAUGGGCCCGCGGUGCAUUAGCUAGUUGGUGAGGUAACGGCUCACCAAGGCAACGAUGCAUAGCCGACCUGAGAGGGUGAUCGGCCACACUGGGACUGAGACACGGCCCAGACUCCUACGGGAGGCAGCAGUAGGGAAUCUUCCGCAAUGGACGAAAGUCUGACGGAGCAACGCCACGUGAGUGAUGAAGGCUUUCGGGUCGUAAAACUCUGUUGUUAGGGAAGAACAAGUUCAAGAGUAACUGCUUGUACCUUGACGGUACCUAACCAGAAAGCCACGGCUAACUACGUGCCAGCAGCCGCCGUAACAC